UACGUAGGGUGCAAGCGUUAAUCGGAAUUACUGGGCGUAAAGCGUGCGCAGGCGGUUCGUUGUGUCGGCGGGGAAAGCCCCGGGCUCAACCUGGGAAUGGCCGUUGAAACUGGCGAACUGGAGUGUGGCAGAGGGGGGUGGAAUUCCGCGUGUAGCAGUGAAAUGCGUAGAUAUCAGGAGGAACACCGGUGGCGAAGGCGGGUCUCUGGGCCGAUACUGACGCUGAGGAGCGAAAGCGUGGGGAGCAAACAGG
rnacentral:rRNA from 1 species